GCAUGUACAACCAAUAGAACUGACGCUUUCUGUAUGCAAAAGAUGAAGAUGAUUUUUCCAUUGCUUGUGAUAUUUUGCUGUAUAUAGAUAUCUGGUAUAAAAUCCUCUAUAAAGAGAUUUGAAGAGAAGUUGGAAGAAAAAUCUCCGAGAUGUAGAACAGGAUGGAAAGAAGUCAAAGACCGAUGUUAUUUCUUUUCCACUGACAAAAAACCCUGGCAUGAGGCGGAGGUAGAGUGUCGAAAUCUAGGAGGGUACGUUACACAAGUUACUGAUUCUGCAGAUAAUUCCUGGAUUGUUUCUUUGAUUACGAGUAAAAAAGUGAUUCAGCAGAACUACUGGAUGGGUGCAACAGAUUUCAAGGAGGGUGAUUGGAGAUGGAUGAACGAUUUGUCUAAAGUACAUUUUACCAGUUGGAGCUCCAGACAACCUGAUAAUGCAGGCGGCAAAGAGGACUGUGUUCAUUUCACGACUGGAGAUACCUAUACAUGUCUAAAGUACAUUUUACCAGUUGGAGCUCGAGACAACCUGAUAAUGCAGGCGGCAAAGAGGACUGUGUUCAUUUCACGACUGGAGAUAACUAUAAAUGGAAUGACCAUGUGUGCAGCAAUAUGUUUGGGUAUAUUUGUGAGAGUCCUCAGGGUUCCAAUUGUCUUCCGUACUCAAGACUGUUAAAGAGUGCUGUCCGUAGAAAGUAGCAACAUGCAACAAAUGUGAAAUAAUAAAAAAGUUUUGUUUCA